rnacentral:sRNA from 1 species
ACAAGACCAGGUGUGUCGGCACCUCCCUGCUCAGUGCCCAGCAGAGAUAUGAUCAUGUAAAACUUACCUACAAUAUUCAUUUCAAACUGCUAAAUUAGAGCAUUUAGUGACCCCUGCAGGCAUGUUGCACUUCCCAUACUGAGGCUUUGCCAGAGUGGCCUCCUGUAGGGUCUGACUUGGGAUCCUGUCCAGCCAAGGAAGCUCUUCUUCAGCCUGCUCCGAUGCCCACAGUUGCCCCCUCAGCAUCCCCUCGGGGUUCUCAUGUAGAUGGGGACAUCUUAACUAAGCGGAAGGCAGGCAUUUCAGCAGAAUUAAGUGUAGCGGGGGCUCAUUUAAUAAAGCCCUCCCAA